rnacentral:rRNA from 2 species
AACGACUCUCGACAACGGAUAUCUCGGCUCUCGCAUCGAUGAAGAACGUAGCGAAAUGCGAUACUUGGUGUGAAUUGCAGAAUCCCGUGAACCAUCGAGUCUUUGAACGCAAGUUGCGCCCGAAGCCACUAGGUUGAGGGCACGCCUGCCUGGGUGUCAUGC